rnacentral:rRNA from 1 species
AACGGCCGCGGUAUCCUAACCGUGCGAAGGUAGCGUAAUCACUUGUUCUUUAAAUGAGGACUAGUAUGAAUGGCACCACGAGGGUUAAACUGUCUCCUUUUUUUAAUCAGUGAAACUAAUCUCCCCGUGAAGAAGCGGGGAUUCUUUUAUAAGACGAGAAGACCCUAUGGAGCUUUAAACAAGUUAACACCUGCUACUAAUCUUCACCUUCCUGAACCACCACAUUAAGUAUAGCACCUCUGAUUAACAGUUUUCGAUUGGGGUGAUCAUGGAGCAAAAAUCAACCUCCACGACGAAAAGGAACACCUCCUUGAGCCAAAAGCUACAACUUUAAGCACUAAAAAACUAACGCACUUUGACCCAAUUCUUUGAGCAACGAACCAAGUUACCCUAGGGAUAACAGCGCAAUCCACUUUAAGAGCUCCUAUCGACAAGUGGGUUUACGACCUCGAUGUUGGAUCAGGGUAUCCCAGUGGUG